AUGUAGUCCACGUCAAAGAUUCAGAAAGCAAUGAAGAAAUCAUUGACUCUCCACUGACGAUUGAUGAUAUUGAUG